AGAGUUUGAUCAUGGCUCAGGAUAAACGCUGGCGGCGUGCCUAACACAUGCAAGUCGAACGCUCUUGGGAGCAAUCCCAAGGGAGUGGCGGACGGGUGAGUAACACGUGGGUACCUACCCUGUGGUGAGGAAUACCGGCGAGAAAUCGCCGACAAUACUGCAUACGUUUGCGAUGCAAACAAAGCUCGGGAAACCGGGUGCCAUAGGAAGGGCCUGCGGCCGAUUAGCUAGUUGGGGGGGUAAAAGCCUCCCAAGGCGACGAUCGGUAGCUGGUCUGAGAGGACGAUCAGCCACACUGGGAUUGAGAACGGCCCAGACUCCUACGGGGGGCAGCAGUGAGGAAUUUUCGUCAAUGGGGGCGACCCUGAACGAGCAACGCCCAUGGCAGGAUGAAGGUUUUCGGAUCGUAAACUGCUUUUCUCUGGGACGAGAACGGACGGUACCAGAGGAAGAAGCCCCGGAUAACUACGUGCCAGCAGCCGCGGUAAUACGUGCCGGCAAGCGUUGUCCGGAUUUAUUGGGCGUAAAGCGCACGCAGGCGGUCUGCCAAGUUCGGAGUGACAGUUUCCGGCUUAACCGGAAAAGGUCUUCGAAAACUGGCGGACUUGAGGACUUGAGGGGGAGACGGAAUUCCGGGUGGAGCGGUGAAAUCGUAGAGAUCCGGAGGAACACCGAAAGCGAAGGCAGUCUCCUGGCAAGUUCCUGACGCUCAGGUGCGAAAGCUGCCGAGCGAACAGGAUUAGAUACCCUGGUAGUCCUAGCCGUAAACGAUGGCCACUAGGCGUGGGGGGGAUCGACCCCUUCCGUGCCGCAGCUUACGCAAUAAGUGGUCCGCCUGGGGAGUACGGUCGCAAGAUUAAAACUCAAAGGAAUUGACGGGGACCCGCACAAGCAGCGGAGCGUGUGUUUAAUUCGAUGCAACGCGAAGAACCUUACCAGGGU
rnacentral:rRNA from 1 species